rnacentral:tRNA from 1 species
CGGGAGGUCUGGGUCACGGAUCCGCGGGUCAAGGUGGCCUCGGAAGCGGCCGAGGAGAAGGGCCGCCGGAUCGGCACGGUCACCCCGGACAGCUUCCGG